GACGAACGCUGGCGGCGUGCCUAACACAUGCAAGUCGAACGGAGAUUUGAGCGCUUGCUUUCAAAUCUUAGUGGCGGACGGGUGAGUAACGCGUGAGUAACCUGCCUCUCAGAGGGGGAUAACGUUCUGAAAAGAACGCUAAUACCGCAUGACAUUCCUUUCUCGCAUGGGGAGGGAAUCAAAGGAGCAAUCCGCUGAGAGAUGGACUCGCGUCCGAUUAGCCAGUUGGCGGGGUAAUGGCCCACCAAAGCGACGAUCAGUAGCCGACCUGAGAGGGUGACCGGCCACAUUGGGACUGAGACACGGCCCAA
rnacentral:rRNA from 1 species